GACGAACGCUGGCGGCGUGCUUAACACAUGCAAGUCGAGCGGGGAGAUUGCCUUCGGGUGAUCUUCUAGCGGCGGACGGGUGAGUAACGCGUGAGCAACCUUUCCUCUACUGGGGAAUAACACCGGGAAACUGGUACUAAUACCGCAUGAGACCACAGAGCGGCAUCGCUUAGGGGUCAAAGAUUUAUUGGUAGAGGGUGGGCUCGCGUCUGAUUAGGUAGUUGGUGAGGUAACGGCCCACCAAGCCGACGAUCAGUAGCCGACCUGAGAGGGUGAUCGGCCACAUUGGGACUGAGACACGGCCCAA
rnacentral:rRNA from 1 species